rnacentral:rRNA from 1 species
GACGAACGCUGGCGGCGUGCUUAACACAUGCAAGUCGAACGGAAAGGCCCUGCUUUUGUGGGGUGCUCGAGUGGCGAACGGGUGCGUAACACGUGAGUAACCUGCCCUUGACUUUGGGAUAACUUCAGGAAACUGGGGCUAAUACCGUAUAGGAUCUCCUGCUGCAUGGUGGGGUUUGGAAAGUUUCGGCGGUUGGGGAUGGACUCGCGGCUUAUCAGCUUGUUGGUUGGGUAGUGGCUUACCAAGGCUUUGACGGGUAGCCGGCCUGAGAGGGUGACCGGCCACAUUGGGACUGAGAGACGGCGCAGACUCCUACGGGAGGCAGCAGUGGGGAAUAUUGCACAAUGGGCGGAAGCCUGAUGAAGAAACGCCGCGUGCGGGAUGACGGCCUUCGGGGUGUAAACAGCUGUCGCCUGUGACGAAGCGUGAGUGACGGUAAUGGGUAAAGAAGCACCGGCUAACUACGUG